CAGAAUCGAAGAAAAAAAUAUCCUGGAUACGAACAUUGCCAUCUUGCACAGAAGAACAUCCUUCAGAGCCAGAGUUUGAACCAUUGGGGGAUGGCGCUGCGGUUUUAAGACAGACCUAACUCCAGAGGCCACGCUUGAUGUUGAGGAUCAGCGGAGCUCCCUGGGCUCAUAUCUGUCCUCUCUGUGAAGGAUGGGUUCCUCAACCCCAGCGCGCCACAAUUUGCUCAUUGCAUCUGAGUCACUGCAGGAGAACGGCUGGAUACAGGAGACUGGGACUCAGCUGACAUCUCUGACCCACUACAGUUCAAACGUGGAUUUGUUUACGAAACGACGCCACGAUAUCAACACUGAUCACCCCAUAAUGAUCAACAUUUCUUUUAAAAUGAG